rnacentral:rRNA from 1 species
UACAGAGGGGGCAAGCGUUGUUCGGAAUUACUGGGCGUAAAGGGCGCGUAGGCGGCCCGCUAAGUCGAACGUGAAAUCCCCGAGCUCAACUCGGGAACUGCGUCCGAUACUGGCGGGCUUGAAUCCGGGAGAGGGAUGCGGAAUUCCAGGUGUAGCGGUGAAAUGCGCAGAUAUCAGGAGGAACACCAAUGGCGAAGGCAGCACUCUGGGACGUGACUGACGCUGAGACGCGAAAGCGUGGGGAGCAAACAGG